AGCCUCUCAGAGUCGCACCUGGAGAGUUUCCAGUCCUCUACCAGUUUCGACUACAGGAGGGAGAGUCAAACAGAGGCCUGUCCAUUCCAUUCCUAGCUUGGCCAGUGGUUAGAGAGUGGAGGGCAAUCUGCUUCAAAU
rnacentral:snoRNA from 1 species